rnacentral:rRNA from 1 species
UACGGGGGGGGCAAGCGUUGUUCGGAAUUACUGGGCGUAAAGGGCUCGUAGGCGGCCAACUAAGUCCGACGUGAAAUCCCCAGGCUUAACCUGGGAACUGCGUCGGAUACUGGAUGGCUUGAAUUCGGGAGAGGGAUGCAGAAUUCCAGGUGUAGCCGUGAAAUGCGUAGAUAUCUGGAGGAAUACCGGUGGCGAAGGCGGCAUCCUGGACCGGCAUUGACGCUGAGGAGCGAAAGCCAGGGGAGCAAACGGG